UGGGGGCAUCAAGAUGAAGAUUAUAGGAUCAGAUAUGGUACUCCCAAGCCUUGGGAGGUUAGGAGUUGAGCUAUGGAGCUAGCUCAAAGAUUCUAGGGUUGGUUUGGAUCCUAGGAUGAAAGACUGUCAGCCUUCACAGUCUUGAGGUCCAGAGGCUUUGGGCCUUAAGGGGCUAACUUGUAAUAGACAAGGUUUGAGUCCAAGG
rnacentral:lncRNA from 1 species